AUGCUCAAUCUCUCCGUAGGACUCCUUAUUAUUGUUGGAAUUGUUGCCAUUGUUGCUAUUUGUGUAUCUUAUCUUCUCUCUAUUCUCUCCUCCCCUGCUACAUUUCCUGAGGGCUCACUGAUUAACCCCUCCAAAGGGCCCUAAUACAAUGGCCCUCAGCCUUGCUCUCCUGAUGAUGGCAAUCUACACCAUCCAUUGGGCUCCACCAGUCUUUGCAGGGCUUGACAACCCUCAGGGCAUUCAAAAAUACCUUCAACAGCAUCACCCUUGUACCUGCUCAGGGGGCAUAAUAGAUCCACAGGACUAGGAAUCGCGGUCCACAAAUAUAGAGAAUUGUCCCAACAACUUAUUAAUAAUGUGCAGACCCUAUCCACCACCAUUCAGGACCUUCAAGAUCAAAUUGAUUCCCUAGCGGAAGUGGUUCUACAAAAUCGUAGAGGCUUAGACUUGCUUACUGCUGAACGGGGAGGUAUUUGCUUGGCUUUACAGGAAAAAUGCUGUUUUUAUGCUAACAAGUCCGGCAUUGUUCGUAAUAAAAUCAAGACACUUCAAGAAGAUCUGGAGCGUCGUCGACGUGCCAUGGCUGAAAAUCCCUUUUGGACUGGAUGGAAUGGACUGCUUCCCUAUUUGCUACCGCUUUUAGGCCCCAUUGUUGGGUUGCUUGUUGUGCUAUCUAUAGGUCCUUGUCUCCUCAAUAGGCUGAUGACCUUUAUCAGACAACAAGUAGAUAAUUUAACAGCCAGACCAAUUCAAAUACAUUACCAAAGUCUGGCCAUGGAAGAUCCCAUGGAAAACGUUAUCUCUCUCUCUGGCCGGUGAAGUCUGGCCAGUGAGGUCACAGUCCCUCCAACAACUGACUCUCCCCUUCGGUCUGCUGCUGCCCCAGUCGGGAGCCCAGGAAGGGCCCCAGGCCUAUCAAUAAAAUGAGCAGUAAGCCAAUGACGGGCACCUUCCCGGAACCUCACCCACCUAAGACAGGAGUCCUUGGGGACUGGCAAGGAUAUCCAAUGACGGGUAAGAGGUGAUGGAGCCCCGGGUCGAUUCCUAAGACAGGCACUGCUCGCUCAUCAUGCUUGGCCUAACCGGUAGCCAUUUCUGUUUAAUUGAUAAGAAAGGGGGAUAUGUCGGGGACCACGCAGCAUGUGACCUCUUAGUUGAGAGACAGGGCUGGACAGGCCAGACCUGAUAGUACUGAUAACGCAAUCUUGUGUGACCUUGUGCCUUAAGGCCUUGUAACCUUUCCCCUACUUGCAUUAGCAUUGCAGCUACAAGAUAAGCCCCUCCUCCUUCCCCCUCCCGAUACCCUGCCUCGAUGAUAUAUAAGUGUGUGGUUGAAAAAUAAAGUCGCAGCUUGAUCGGCACCUGUCUUGCUGCCA